AACGUGAUGGGUUCCUGUGCGUUGAGGUUUGAGCUCUGUAAACGGCCUAGGUGAGAAAAGUGGAACAAAGUUGGCCACCGUAAAUAUUUCCAGAGUUCAAAGUGAACACAAAGAAGCAACUUUCAAUGAAAUAUAUUUUUUUCAUGAAGCAAAUUACAUGAAUAACAGUCAUUUUCCCAGAAGAAGAAUUGACUGAGAGCCAUUAAAUGCAAAAACACCACCUAAAGCUCUAGGAGUUCCUUAGCUGCAGACUGAUGCAAGCUGAAUGAUUUUUCCUGGCAGCUCACCCAUCAUCUACCCAGAAAAACAUCUGCAACCUGCUGAGAGCCCAAGGCUGUAGGAUCUGCAACCCUUUUCACAGUGUGUGAUUGGUUGAGGGGCUGCCUGUGCAGCUCAGAGUUUCUCUGCCUUGUGAGCAGAGGGUGUGUACUGCUGUUUCUGCAAGCAUCUCCCUUGUUCUGGGUCCUGAAAACUCAGCAAAUCCUGCAUCUGAAACUAGUAGCCAUAGAGACGCGCAGCUUUGGCAGCAUACUGCCUCUGUGCCUAGGCAGUAUAUAUAUAACAAACAAGUUGUCAGUAAAUUAAAUGUGUUGUAUCUGAUCCGUGCCAAGGUCCACAAACUCUUAAAUAUAGAGUAAUGGUUUAAAGUCUCCACUUAAUGCUAUCUGUGUUCCUUAUGAAUGUUGCUCACUUGGUCCUUAUGUAUUUGUUAGAUGCUACCAGUGCUGUGCAACAGGGAUUGCAGUAUGCUCUGUAUUUAUCUAGUCUGAAUCUGUAUGCACUAAUCCUAUGCACUGAGAAACACAUUAAGUCAAACUUAUGUCCAAAUCUAUAAGCAGCGUAAGAAUCUACUUAAGAAAAUAUCAUUAUUUAAGAAUCAAAAGGAGUAAAAUAUAUGGGCAAGGUUAGAAAAAAACAAGCCAGACUGGUGAUGUUCUCCAUGGUUACUAAUUUGGAAAUCUCUACAUUUAGAAAACAUACAGCUGAGAGGAAUGGCCAUAGGAGGUUUAACAAUGCUUUUGAGCAUGCUUCCCAGUUUGCUUCUCCAGCCUUCCCUUUAUGUGUAUGUUUAUUAUGGCAACAUGUAUGCAGAAAGCGUGUAUGCAUGGGAGACCUGCAAUAACACUGUUGAAUUGUAUCCACAAGAUGUACCACCACUUCAUAUUUCUUUUUCAAAUGCUACCUGCAGAUCUUAGUGGAACAAUGAUCUGAGAGAACUUUUGAUCCAUUUUCAUGAAGUUUUUCUGUGAAUGCUUCUCCUGCUUGCACACUGCGAAAGGCCUAACACUGUGUUUUGCUCUGCUCUCUCUUUCACUGCCUCAAUCCCUGUUCCCAGCAGUUAAAAGGUAGGGAUUUUCCCUGCCUAGUGAAACACUUACUGUCAAUAGCAAUUUUUUAGAGGAACAAGCUAUAUUACAAAGGUUAGGGAAUUUUGUAAAGAUCAUAAUCACCUAAAGGCUUCAUUAACCUUUACAAAAUAGUUGUUGCUGCAUUGCACAACAUGGGAUUAAAUUACCAUUAACAGACAGCAAUUAAUGACUGUAACAACUUCAAAGUACCACAAAUAGUGUUCAUAGUGUUCCUGAUACCAGUCUCCUAUCACAAGUUUUAUUCCAGCAAACAAACUUGAAAGAAGAUCCUCAAUGACAAAGCCUAGUUUAUGGUGUGUGCACUCCAGGAAACAUAUUUAUCUAAGUUUAUUAGUGUCUGACAGAACAUUACAGUGAGAUGGGGUUGGAAUAACCAGCUGCAAUAACAUCACCUUCUUUCUGCAGGUAUCCCAUAAACUAAGAUUUUUGUGAAUAAUAAUCACUUAUAGUAAUGAGUCCUGACCCUUUUGUUUGAGUAGAUACCAGAGACCAGAAUUCUGUGUUUUCCUGAAAUCUUUUUAGCCAGGCACUGAGCUGAUGAUCCAUGCUCUGCUAAACAGGCAUGCAGAAAUUAGAUUAAAGCCUUUUUAAACUACUUCAACAAAUAAUCUGUUUGGCCACAAAGAAAUGAAGCUUAACCUGUAUUAUUAAGCUAGACAGAAAAGCUUCUCCAGUCUCAGCAUUGUUAUUUGUUAUUAUUUUUACUGUUCAUUUGUAGCAAGCCUUCAGGAAUUCUUUACGAAGCCAACAAGCGUACAGUGAGUAAAGCAGAAUAUAAUGUGUUGAAUUAGAAAAAAUACGUAUAUUCUACAAACUAGAGUGGCACAAUCUCAAACUUUGGGUAAAAGAAGAGUAUUGGCAUAUAAGUUAGACAUGUUGGUGUAUACAUAAAGGAAAAUAAAGUUUAAUAUAACCAAGUGGUAUUACUUAAAUAACUUAAGUUUUCAGGAUGGAGAAGACAAAAAUUAUGGUGCUCUGUAAUUUAGUUCCUUUGUGAUACAUAUGUAUAUGAGGGAUUUCACACUUAGUUUUAAAUCUCUCUAAAUAUGGAGCUAUAUUCUCAAAUUUUGUCCACUCAUGACUACAAUAUCCAACUAGUU